rnacentral:rRNA from 1 species
UACGUAGGGGGCAAGCGUUGUCCGGAAUCAUUGGGCGUAAAGAGCGCGUAGGCGGCCCAGUAAGUCCGCUCUGAAAGUCAGGGGCUCAACCCCUGGAUGCGGGUGGAUACUGCUGGGCUAGAGUCCGGAAGAGGUGAGUGGAAUUCCUGGUGUAGCGGUGAAAUGCGCAGAUAUCAGGAGGAACACCGGUGGCGAAGGCGGCAUCCUGGACCGGUAUUGACGCUGAGGCGCGAAAGCCAGGGGAGCAAACGGG